rnacentral:rRNA from 1 species
AGUGAGCGCUGGCGGUAGGCCUAACACAUGCAAGUCGAACGGCAGCACAGUAAGAGCUUGCUCUUACGGGUGGCGAGUGGCGGACGGGUGAGGAAUACAUCGGAAUCUACUUUUUCGUGGGGGAUAACGUAGGGAAACUUACGCUAAUACCGCAUACGACCUACGGGUGAAAGCAGGGGAUCUUCGGACCUUGCGCGAUUGAAUGAGCCGAUGUCGGAUUAGCUAGUUGGCGGGGUAAAGGCCCACCAAGGCGACGAUCCGUAGCUGGUCUGAGAGGAUGAUCAGCCACACUGGAACUGAGACACGGUCCAGACUCCUACGGGAGGCAGCAGUGGGGAAUAUUGGACAAUGGGCGCAAGCCUGAUCCAGCCAUACCGCGUGGGUGAAGAAGGCCUUCGGGUUGUAAAGCCCUUUUGUUGGGAAAGAAAGCAGCAGGUUAAUACCCCGCUGUUCUGACGGUACCCAAAGAAUAAGCACCGGCUAACUUCGUG